AUACGUAGGUGGCAAGUGUUGUCCGGAAUUAUUGGGCGUAAAGCGCAUGUAGGCGGUUUGGUAAGUCGGUCGUGAAAAUGCGGUGCUUAACGCCGUAUGGCGAUUGAAACUGCUGAACUUGAGUGCAGGAGAGGAAAGGGGAACUCCCAGUGUAGCGGUGAAAUGCGUAGAUAUUGGGAAGAACACCGGUGGCGAAGGCGCCUUUCUGGGCUGUGUCUGACGCUCAGAUGCGAAAGCCAGGGUAGCGAACGGGAUUAGAUACCCCGGUAGUCCUGGCCGUAAACGAUGGGUACUAGGUGUGGGAGGUAUCGACUCCUUCCGUGCCGGAGUUAACGCAAUAAGUACCCCGCCUGGGGAGUACGGCCGCAAGGCUUAAACUCAAAGGAAUUGACGGGG
rnacentral:rRNA from 1 species